rnacentral:rRNA from 1 species
UACGAGAGGCCCAAACGUUAUUCGGAAUUACUGGGCUUAAAGAGUUCGUAGGCGGCGCAGAAAGUAGGGUGUGAAAGCCCUCGGCUUAACCGAGGAAUUGCGCUCUAAACUACUGUGCUUGAGGAACCUAGAGGUGAGCAGAACAGAUGGUGGAGCGGUGAAAUGCGUUGAUAUCAUCUGGAAUACCGGUGGCGAAGGCGGCAUCCUGGACCGAGAUUGACACUGAUGAGCGAAAGCUAGGGGAGCAAACGGG